UGCUGUAAGGGAUGUGGCUGCGAAGAGGAAGGCUGCUGUCAAGGGUGUGCUCUACCGCCUGAGCCUGCCAAGCCCCAAAGAACAUCAUGGAACAAGGAAGUUCAUCAACAAGCCAGAAUCCAACAAGGCCACUCCCCCGCCAAGGCAGCGGCACCGUUAUCCACCAAUCAGGAAGCAGCGUCUUACAUCGUGACGACUGCAGUCGAUCAGGCCCCGCCUCCAUCACAACCAGUUUUAGGCCACGCCCAGCUUUCACCCAUCGAGCAACCACAUGACGCGAAGAAUUAAGAGAAUACAGACACGCCCCCUUCCACCGCCACACGGUGCAUGGAGUGGGAAUUAUAAUGUAACAAGUUGCAAUAGACAUUGUAGACCAGGGGGGCGUUUCACAAAGAUCCUCAGUUGAACUUAUCUCUAAGUUGGACUUAACAGUUAUGGAAAGCCGUUAGCAUCUCUGAAAAUAUUUUGUUAAA